ensembl:lncRNA
CCACGGUAACUCGCGCCUCCUGUUCACAUGGAGGAGGCUGGAGCUGCUCCCACUCUGCUGGAACCCGAGCUGCAUUCCUCCUCAUUCACACGCAGGGCAGCCGCCGAAGCGAGCACGACUACUCCGUGACGAGAGUGGAAAUGUCUCCAAGUUUUGGAAUUUAAACCAUGGCAAGGAGGAUAUCUAUUCAACGAAUCACUUAAAGCUAAGUUCUGCUCCUGACUGACUGCUCGUCCCCCGGUAAGGAGCUGGGAGCGACAGGCGGCGGCCACUGCUGUCGGAGCAGGACCGCUCGCUCGCACAGAAAAGGUAACGCCUGAGGGGCGUGCGACCAUCGAGAAACACUCGCCGCCGCGAAAUAGGAGGUCAAUUAAAGGCUGUGCUGAGCUGAGUGCCCAGGGCCGGGCGCUCCUGAAGGAGCAGGGAUGUUGUUCCGACCGCGUCGCCGGUGGUUCCUCCCCUCGGCAGAACGUGUCGGGGAGUAGUUCUGAGGAUCAUGACAUGGCCGCCUCGCUCCUGCUCGACUGUCGUAAAAAGCCUUGACCUUUUGCUGAAAUAAUAUCAACCCUCGGCCAUCUGAGGCCCAGCUCUGCUCUUCCAUAUCAGCAGGUUAUGGAAGGUACAGAACGUAAGGCUUCUUACAGGAAAUGGCUGUUUCUUUGGAAUACAGCCCAAGUUUCUCUCUCUCUCUCUCUCUCUCUCUCUCUCUCUCUCUCUCUCUCUCUCUCUCUCUCUCUCUCUCUCGCUUGCCGUGUCUGAUGUGCUCAUCCGAGUGAAAUGACUGUUAUGUAUAAUUAAUUUUACCCCUCUCUCCCAGUGUAUUUUUAUCGCCCACUUUUACCAUUCUUCAAAGGACCCCUCCCCCGCAUUCGUCCUCCACAGUGCCUGCUGAAAGUGACAGCUGCUCUGGUAUGGUUAUGGGGGGGGUUGAUGCAUUUGAAGCAGGCACUAAAAAGGCUACUCACAUCAAGACGACUCGACGAAUAGGAGAACAAAAAUCAUUUCCUUUUUGCCCUGACACUAUCAAAAACCUGCCUGCUAAUCUGGCUGCAAAUUGAAAAAAAAUGCCAUCUCUCCCCCCCACCCAACAUCACCACCACCAUCUCGAAUGUGGCCCGUGUGUCGUGUUUGUACAUGAAGCACCGCUUUGUUCAAAAGGCAUGUUGAGGAGUUUAGUGGGAAUGUAAAGCAGCAUGCACAGAAUGAUUUAAGUAAGGCAAAAACAACAAAUUGUAUUUCAUCCCCCCUCACUCUGUUUACACAAUACUAGACAAUACUAUGGUUUUGGUAGAGUGGGCGGGGUAACAAGGCCUUGUGUCCUUGUAAAGUUUAAAUGGAAAUCUUUCAUUAUUAAUUUUAACCAUGAAGAAGACGACCACUGACAUCACAUCCUCCGUCCCCAGUGGUCGUGUUGGGUUUUACAGGCCGUCUGGUCGUACAACACCACAGAUCCCCCAAUCUGCCUCCAUACAUUUAGUUGCACUUUUCUUUUUCUUAACCCUGGCACUCACGCCGACUAACAUCCACCCACAAACCCUUCAGCCAAUGGCCUCAGCCUGCUCGUGUUUGUGUUUGAGGUCAUUGGCUGCAGGGUUUGUGGCCCAGUGUGUGUGUGUGUGGGAGAGAGCUCCUGCCUGGCAUGGCAAGACUCUUAUCAGCAUUCUAAUCCUCUCCUGCCUGCGAUCUCGCCACUCGACACUGACUCAGACAGGGCAGAUUAGGGCCCUGUGAAUCAUGCCGAGGGGAAUGUGGGGCACCCAGACUCAGAAAAAACAACCAAA